rnacentral:tRNA from 5 species
GCGGCGGUAGUUCAGCGGUAGAAUGUCUCCCUUCCAAGGAGAAGGUCGCCAGUUCAAAUCUGGUCCGCCGCU